rnacentral:lncRNA from 1 species
CUCUUUCGCCUCCUGCACCUUGAGAGCCCUGGGCUACUCUGUCACAGCCCCUGUUGCCCUGCGAUCUGUAGGUCCUUGGGGACGCAUAGUUAAGGUGCCAGGACAUCCUGGAAGCUGGGAAAUGACCAUGGCUGGAGAAGGAAAGAAGGUGUGUUUUGCCUGAUUCAGGGACUAUAGAGAGAACCAAGUUCUGCAGGCCUGUCAUCUAAGUCUCAGGGCGGGGAGACCUUCCUUCCCCACGGGUUUGAGGCUAUGGCUAAGUGGUGAGCCUUGGUGAGACGCAGAAAGGAUCCAUCCCAGGCACUUGGCUAGAGGCAGGUUCCUGGGAUCUGAUAAAACUGAUAUUGGAGACGCUGGAGCUGAUCCGACAUAGCAAUGGUGUUGACUCCCUCCUUAUGUGUGGAUUGCUCAGCGGGGGAACUUGACUGUCCAACAUGCUGGGUGCAAGAACAGCAGAAAGGGGACUUUUAAGAUGUGGCAAACAUGAGGCCUCUUCGGAGAGGACUUUGGAAACCAGGCCUUGCUUGGCUGAAUGCUAUCCCAGUGAUUGUACGUGCCCUGUUUGCUGAAUCUACUCAUCCUUAAGGGUACAUUUGCUUCCAGGUAACAUGUUUGUGACUAAUACUACAAUGUGCAUAUAUCUAUUCCAUGUUCUGCUUUGUCUGUUUGGGAUAUUUUUCAUACACUGAUUCAGUACCAUGUGUAUUCCCUUGCUUUUGUUGUCUCAUCCGUUGAUGUUACGUCCCCCAAAUUAUUGCCACGACCAGUUGUCAUGAAGCUUCACCCUUCUGUAUUGUGCUAGGAAUUUUACAGCUAUAGGUUUUACAUUAUAGUCUUCAUUCAUUUUUUAAAAUUGACACAUGUAAUUGUGCAUAUUUUGGGGAAACAAUUAUAUAUAUAUGUUGUAUAACAAUAAAAAUCAGAGUACUUCUAUA